AUAAAAAUAUUAUAAUUUAAAUAAUUUAAUUUAAAUUUAUUUUAUAUAUAAAUUAUGGUGUUAAUAAUCAUUAAUUUUAAAAAUAUUUUUAUUAAAAUUAGUAAUUAAUAUUAAAUUAUGUAAGAAAUUAUUAUUUAGUAAUAUAAAAAUUAUAAACAAAUUUUGUGCCAGCAGUUGCGGUUAUACAAAAUAUAAAUUAAAUUUUAUUAGUUAUUAAUUAAUUUUUCUUUUAUAAAAUUAAAUUAUAAAUUAUUAAGUGAAAUUUUAAUUUAUUAAAAUUUUUAAAAAAUAAAUGAUUUAAUAAAAUUUUUUAAAAAACUAGGAUUAGAUACCCUAUUAUAAAAAAUUAAAUUAAUAUACUAAAAUAGUAAAUAAUUAUUUAUUUAAACUUAAAUAAAUUGGCGGUAUUUUAGUUUAUUUAGAGGAAUCUGCCUAAUAAUUGAUAUUCCACGAAUAAAUUUACUUAAAUUAUUAAUUUAUAUAUCGUUGUUCAAAAAAUAUUUUUUAAAAAUAAAUAAUAUUUUAAAAUUUAUAAUAAAAUUUAAAUCAGAUCAAGAUGUAGUUUAUAUUUAAGAUUAAGGUGGGUUACAAUAAAAUUAUUUUUGGAUGAUAAAUUGUAAAAUUUAUCUAAAAUUGGAUUUAAAUGUAAUUUUAAUUAUUUUAUUAAUUUGAUUUUAUAUUAAAAUAUGUACAUAUUGCCCGUCGCUUUCAUUUAUAAAUUGAAAUAAGUCGUAACAAAGUAGAGGUACUGGAAAGUGUUUCUAGAAAGA
rnacentral:ncRNA from 1 species